GUCUUUUCCUUUGAAGAAGGCUCUUGUUAAAUUUCACUAGACAUCAGUCGGUCUCGGGAGCUGCAUCUCCACUUCGCUUCCUUGAUGCUCCAAACUCCACAGGUGGAACAGAGGGAAGUGAAUAUGUGUUUGCAAAUGUGGGCACAAAGUGAGGUUCUGGUUGCUGAGGAAGCAAGUGCUAAUGAUCCUGCUUUAGACUAAUUACAACCUACAAGGACUGCAGGGUGGGAACUCAUUAAUUUCUUCACUGGUGUUGGUCUCUGUGUCUCUUCCAGUGUUGGCAAGAAUCAUGCUUUUUGUUCUCAUUUAGGUCUUUCAGUCGGGAUAAGUUCUAUGGAUUUGGUUUUGUUUUGAGUUUCCUAAUUUCCAGGAAACAACUAAAGUGAAAUCAGAAGGGGAAAAUUCAUCCUUCUCUCCUGCUGAGUGGAGCUGGGAGUGUGAAUGAACUUCGAUGAGCCCCAACAUGAGGAGCAGUAUCUUCCCUGGGGACUGAAAGCUCACACUGCUGCAGCUGAGACCAGCCUCAGUAUUUACCACAACCAGACUGCCCCCAUUCUGUGGUUCCCUGCUGGCAGAAUGAUGUUCUGCAGAAGGCCCUUCCCAGGAAAAUAUUUGGGCUCCUCAGCCUGCAUUGCCCCAGUAGGGUGAGACCACCGGGAUCAUCAUGGGCUCUGCGUGGCCAGUACACGGGAACACCACCAACAGCACCCUCCAAAAGCUCCCUGAUUCUGGGGCUGAAAUCCUGCCAGCUCUGAAGGCAACAGCAAAAUGUGUCUGACCUGGGCUGAAGGAAAACCUUGGACUUUGGCUGGAAUCAGAUGGUUUGAAGCACAUUCACUGGAGAAGGACGAUUAAAAGAACAAAACCAACGCGCGGAGCAAACCUCACACUGUCAACUUCCAGUUCAAGGUGUCUCAAGACGCACCCAACCCUCGUCUCCUCGACCUGCAUCGCCCCAAGGGAUGCCUCACACCCAGAAACGGGGGACUCCCUCACCACCCCAUCAGGGAGUCCACGCUGCUCAGUACGUGGGUGCUCUACGGUUUCAGUGGCACAGAUCCCUUCUGUUCUGAUAUUUCUUCAAAAAAAGCGCGAGGGAGGAAGGUGCUUCAAACAGGCGUCGUCCUCCUGUUGACCAUGUUGACGUGGAGUCCUUCCUUAAAUUCCUUCUGAAGGAAGUUGUGGACCUGCAGAAAGCUGGCUUCCUGGUCUGCGUUGUAGCUGGCAGCCGUCGUGACCUUCAAAGGCUCUCUGGAGAGGGUGUACAUGGAAAUCUCGUUCAUGGGGAUGGUGCUCGCUAUCUUCAUGCCAACCGGGGAAAUGUCUCUGGACGGAGAAGGCUCCGUAGAUCGAGAGCUGGAUCUGGACCUCCUCCUCCUGUACCUGUAGCUUGGCAUCCUGGCAUAAGGAGAACUGGAGGAAGUCUUAAGGAAUUCCCUCUUGGUCUUAAACCUCAGCUCUUUGUUCUUCUCGAUAUAAAUGUUCACAGCCAGAACACCUAUGGUUUCGGCCACAAUAAAAGACAAGGCUCCAAAAUAAAAAGACCAACCAUAGUUGUAAUGGUUCUUUUUGUCCUCAUCUCGCUUGUCACUUGGGUCACCUGCGUUGCUUGAUAUGUAGACAAUGAUCCCUAUGAUAUUACUUAGACCUAGAGAAAGAAAAACAUAAAUCAGUGGUUAUGUGGCUGGGAAGCUGAAAUUCAGGAUAUGUUACUUUCUGCACCUGAAUGGUUCAAAGAUUGCGACCGGGAAAUUUAUUACAUUUAUUGACUCU